rnacentral:rRNA from 1 species
AGCGAACGCUGGCGGCAGGCCUAACACAUGCAAGUCGAACGAACCCUUCGGGGUUAGUGGCGCACGGGUGCGUAACGCGUGGGAAUCUGCCCUUUGCUUCGGAAUAACAGUUAGAAAUGACUGCUAAUACCGGAUGAUGUCUUCGGACCAAAGAUUUAUCGGCAAGGGAUGAGCCCGCGUAGGAUUAGGUAGUUGGUGGGGUAAAGGCCUACCAAGCCGACGAUCCUUAGCUGGUCUGAGAGGAUGAUCAGCCACACUGGGACUGAGACACGGCCCAGACUCCUACGGGAGGCAGCAGUGGGGAAUGUUGGACAAUGGGCGCAAGCCUGAUCCAGCAAUGCCGCGUGAGUGAUGAAGGCCUUCGGGUCGUAAAGCUCUUUUACCAGGGAUGAUAAUGACAGUACCUGGAGAAUAAGCUCCGGCUAACUCCGUGCCAGCCGCCGCGAUAAAAC